rnacentral:rRNA from 1 species
UGGGGAAUUUUGGACAAUGGGCGAAAGCCUGAUCCAGCAAUGCCGCGUGUGUGAAGAAGGCCUUCGGGUUGUAAAGCACUUUUGUCCGGAAAGAAAUCCUUGGCUCUAAUACAGUCGGGGGAUGACGGUACCGGAAGAAUAAGCACCGGCUAACUACGUGCCAGCAGCCGCGGUAAUACGUAGGGUGCAAGCGUUAAUCGGAAUUACUGGGCGUAAAGCGUGCGCAGGCGGUUUGCUAAGACCGAUGUGAAAUCCCCGGGCUAACCUGGGAACUGCAUUGGUGACUGGCAGGCUAGAGUAUGGCAGAGGGGGGUAGAAUUCCACGUGUAGCAGUGAAAUGCGUAGAGAUGUGGAGGAAUACCGAUGGCGAAGGCAGCCCCCUGGGCCAAUACUGACGCUCAUGCACGAAAGCGUGGGGAGCAAACAGGAUUAGAUACCCUGGUAGUCCACGCCCUAAACGAUGUCAACUAGUUGUUGGGGAUUCAUUUCCUUAGUAACGUAGCUAACGCGUGAAGUUGACCGCCUGGGGAGUACGGUCGCAAGAUUAAAACUCAAAGGAAUUGACGGGGUCAUAGCUGUUUCCU